ensembl:rRNA 5S_rRNA 5S ribosomal RNA
GCCAGCAGCCAUAUCACCCUGCAACUCACAACUGGCAGCCCACUGAAGCUCAGCAGGUGUGAGCCUGGUCAGUACCUGGAUGUGAGACCACCUGGGAAAAACUAAGGUUGCUGCUGGAA